CGGCGACUAUUAGAGUGGCGGAAGGGCGAGUAAUGUAUGGGUAACGUACCUCUUGCACGAGGAUAGCCGCGGGAAACUGCGGGUAAUACUCGAUGCUGUCCUAGGGUCAUAUGACCUCUGGAUGAAAGGCGGGGAUCUUCGGACCUGUCGGCAGGAGAGCGGCCCAUAUGCUAUCAGCUAGUUGGUGAGGUAACGGCUCACCAAGGCGACGACGGCUAGCGGAGCUGAGAGGUUGGCCCGCCGCACUGGGACUGAGACACUGCCCAGACUCCUACGGGAGGCUGCAGUAACGAAUCUUCCGCAAUGGGCGAAAGCCUGACGGAGCAAUGCCGCGUGUGGGAAUAAGCUCUUCGGAGUGUAAACCACUGUCAGGGGUUACCAAGCAAUGGGAGCUAAUAUCUCCCGGCGUUGAGGAGCCCCAGAGGAAGCCACGGCUAACUUCGUGCCAGCAGCCGCGGUAAUACGAAGGUGGCGAGCGUUAUUCGGAAUCACUGGGCUUAAGAGCACGUAGCGGAAUACCAAGCGUCUUGUGAAAUCCCUCGGUCACCGAGGAAUGCGGGCGAACUGGUAUUCUUGAGGCAGGUAAGGGUGAGUGGAACUCUUGGUGGAGCGGUGGAAUGCGUAGAUAUCAAGAGGAACGCCGGAGGUGAAGACGACUCACUGGGCCUGUCCUGACGCUGAGGUGCGAAAGCCAGGGGAGCGAACGGGAUUAGAUACCCCGGUAGUCCUGGCCAUAAACGAUGUCCACUAGGUCGAUGACAUUCUGACAUGGUGUCGGCCGAAAGAAAACCGUUAAGUGGACCGCCUGGGGAGUACGGUCGCAAGGCUAAAACUCAAAGGGAAUUGACGGGGGGCC
rnacentral:rRNA from 1 species